rnacentral:rRNA from 1 species
GAUGAACGCUGGCGGCGUGCUUAACACAUGCAAGUCGAACGGGAAACUUUUCAUUGAAGCUUCGGCAGAUUUGGUCUGUUUCUAGUGGCGGGCGGGUGAGUAACGCGUGGGUAACCUGCCUUAUACAGGGGGAUAACAACCAGAAAUGGUUGCUAAUACCGCAUAAGCGCACAGGACCGCAUGGUCCGGUGUGAAAAACUCCGGUGGUAUAAGAUGGACCCGCGUUGGAUUAGCUAGUUGGCAGGGUAACGGCCUACCAAGGCGACGAUCCAUAGCCGGCCUGAGAGGGUGAACGGCCACAUUGGGACUGAGACACGGCCCAGACUCCUACGGGAGGCAGCAGUGGGGAAUAUUGCACAAUGGGGGAAACCCUGAUGCAGCGACGCCGCGUGAAGGAAGAAGUAUCUCGGUAUGUAAACUUCUAUCAGCAGGGAAGAUAGUGACGGUAC